ACCCCUCUCUUCCCUCGCUCAUCUCCCUCUCCCUUGCCGACGAUGGCGGCGGUCCAGAUCUGCAUCCUCUACAGCAGCUCGCUUACGGCAAGCCGGUGGUGGGCUCCUCACCUACUCCCCUCUCAGGAUUCAGGAGCACUGGCCGACGUGCUCCCUGCCUCGUCCCCCUCUCAGGAUCCAGCAGUGGCUCGCCGGGAGCGCAAGCCGGUGGUGGGCAUCUUGCCUCCUCCCCCUCUCAGGCUCAGAAUCAAGGCUCUACGCCCUCCUCUCACUGCACCAAAUCCAGAGAUAUGAAUGAUCUUCCACCAGCUUGUGGCUUGGCUUAUGAUAUGACUUACAAUGGAGUGGAGGCACUCGUUUCUCUUUUGAAAUCGGAGGAGGCAGUUUGAGGAUCUACAAAACUGAUGUUCAACAAAGGAUUUUUUAGAUAAUCAGCAUCUCACCUGAACAGGAGGUGUUGCCUAUGGGUUAAGAUCAGAUUGUGAAUGUGAUAACUUUCCCAAAGACCCGCUCAAUGUUGGAUCACCAAAGCACCGUCCAUAUGGAACCCGAGCAACUGAAAGCUCACUUUCUAUUGUAAUCGUGCCCAAAAACUACCCAUGUGAAUACAGUUUUCUAAGUACUACUCCCUCCGCCCGAAAAUACUUGUCAUCAAAAUGGAUAAAAAGAGAUGUAUCUAGAACUAAAUAUGUCUAGAUGCAUCCCCUUUUAUCCAUUUUGAUGACAAGUAUUUCCGGACGGAGGGAGUAGCAUUUUGGAGUACAUGAGAAUGAGGACUUACCG